rnacentral:rRNA from 1 species
UAGGGAAUCUUCCGCAAUGGACGAAAGUCUGACGGAGCAACGCCGCGUGAGUGAAGAAGGAUUUCGGUUCGUAAAACUCUGUUGUUAGGGAAGAAAAAAUGUAUAGUAACUAUAUACAAAAGAGACGGUACCUAACCAGAAAGCCACGGCUAACUACGUGCCAGCAGCCGCGGUAAUACGUAGGUGGCAAGCGUUGUCCGGAAUUAUUGGGCGUAAAGCGCGCGCAGGUGGUUUAGAAAGUCUGAUGUGAAAGCCCACGGCUCAACCGUGGAGGGUCAUUGGAAACUAAUAAACUUGAGUGCAGGAGAGAAAAGUGGAAUUCCUAGUGUAGCGGUGAAAUGCGUAGAGAUUAGGAGGAACACCGGUGGCGAAAGCGGCUUUUUGGCCUGCAACUGACACUGUGGCGCGAAAGCGUGGGGAGCAAACAGG